rnacentral:rRNA from 1 species
AAUCAACGCUGGCGGCGUGCCUAACACAUGCAAGUCGCACGAGAAAGGGGAGCAAUCCCUGAGUAAAGUGGCGCACGGGUGAGUAACACGUGAAUCAUCUACCUCCGAGUGGGGAAUAACUGAGAGAAAUCUUAGCUAAUACCGCAUAACACUUACGAGUCAAAGCAGCAAUGCGCUUGGAGAGGAGUUCGCGGCCGAUUAGUUAGUUGGCGGGGUAAUGGCCCA